AUUGAACGCUGGCGGCAUGCCUUACACAUGCAAGUCGAACGGCAGCACGGGAGCUUGCUCCUGGUGGCGAGUGGCGAACGGGUGAGUAAUACAUCGGAACGUACCCUGAAGUGGGGGAUAACGUAGCGAAAGUUACGCUAAUACCGCAUAUUCUGUGAGCAGGAAAGAGGGGGAUCGCAAGACCUCUUGCUUUAGGAGCGGCCGAUGUCGGAUUAGCUAGUUGGUGAGGUAAAGGCUCACCAAGGCGACGAUCCGUAGCGGGUCUGAGAGGAUGAUCCGCCACACUGGGACUGAGACACGGCCCAGACUCCUACGGGAGGCAGCAGUGGGGAAUUUUGGACAAUGGGCGCAAGCCUGAUCCAGCCAUGCCGCGUGAGUGAAGAAGGCCUGUGU
rnacentral:rRNA from 1 species